rnacentral:rRNA from 1 species
UGGGGAAUAUUGGACAAUGGGCGAAAGCCUGAUCCCGCCAUGCCGCGUGUGUGAAGAAGGUCUUCGGAUUGUAAAGCACUUUAAGUUGGGAGGAAGGGCAUUAACCUAAUACGUUAGUGUUUUGACGUUACCGACAGAAUAAGCACCGGCUAACUUCGUGCCAGCAGCCGCGGUAAUACGAAGGGUGCAAGCGUUAAUCGGAAUUACUGGGCGUAAAGCGCGCGUAGGUGGUUCGUUAAGUUGGAUGUGAAAGCCCCGGGCUCAACCUGGGAAACUGCAUCCAAAAACUGGCGAGCUAGAGUACGGUAGAGGGUGGUGGAAUUUCCUGUGUAGCGGUGAAAUGCGUAGAUAUAGGAAGGAACACCAGUGGCGAAGGCGACCACCUGGACUGAUACUGACACUGAGGUGCGAAAGCGUGGGGAGCAAAACAGGAUUAGAUACCCUGGUAGUCCACGCCGUAAAACGAUGUCAACUAGCCGUUGGGUUCCUUGAGAACUUAGUGGCGCAGCUAACGCAUUAAGUUGACCGCCUGGGGAGUACGGCCGCAAGGUUAAAACUCAAAUGAAUUGACGGGGUCAUAGCUGUUU